CCUACGGGAGGCAGCAGUGAGGAAUAUUGGUCAAUGGCCGAGAGGCUGAACCAGCCAAGUCGCGUGAGGGAAGACGGCCCUACGGGUUGUAAACCUCUUUUGUCGGGGAGCAAAGCGAGUCACGUGUGACUCAUUGAGAGUACCCGAAGAAAAAGCAUCGGCUAACUCCGUGCCAGCCGCCGCGGAAAUACGGAGGAUGCGAGCGUUAUCCGGAUUUAUUGGGUUAAAAGGGUGGUCAGACGGAGGUGCACGUCAGCGGGAAAAUUGCGGGGCUCAACCCCGGCCUGCCUUUGAAACUGCAUCCCUUGAGUGCGCGAGAAGUAUGCGGAAUGCGUGGUGUAGCGGUGAAAUGCAUAGAUAUCACGAAGAACUCCGAUUGCGAAGGCAGCAUACCGGCGCGCAACUGACGCUCAUGCACGAAAGCGUGGGUAUCGAACAGGAUUAGAUACCCCAGUAGUC
rnacentral:rRNA from 1 species